UUAAGUCCACAUCUGAGCACUGGCCCAGCUGCUCCUGUGUCUCAGGCCAAGAAAUUGUCUUUUUAUUGCCCCUUAGGUCUGAAGAGAGGCUUGAGCCAGGCGCUAACAUGGAGUUCUUGGGAAGGAGGAGACUGGGUCUACGUUCCAGUGUGAGGAUCUAUUUAAGGACUUCUAUGUGGGAUGUUACAGCAGCUACCUACCUGUAUGUGACACACAGCAGACCAAAUGCAGAAGGACACAGGAGACCCUUCUGCAUCUAUAAAGCCAUACGUUAAUGGCAUUUACAGAAAUGUCAAACAAUUCCACUCUUCUCAUUAUGGGCAGGUACAACCCACGUAAGCAUAAGCCAGUGGAUCCCUCAAUAUUUUGAAGAGUGUAAAGACAAUCUGAGACCAUAAAUAUCAAGAACCACUGGAUUAAAACAUAAGCAUGAUUUUCAACUAAA